UCCCAGGUUCUCUCAGGCUGAGAUGAGUCACACUCUGCAAACAAUGUGUUUGAUUUCACUGUUGGCUUACCUCAGGCGUGGAGGGGAGAGAACAGACGCAAACUGUUUGACUGACCUACAUACUGUGUUUAUGUGUCCUGCCACUGUGCUGGUGGAAGGACUGGUGUUUGAAAGGAAACAUGCCCACACGUUUAAUAAGCCGCUUUCUAAAUUCCAUUGUCGAGCUGACAGAGCAGAGGAGGAGCCCGAGACGAACAGACACCUUUUGUUUGCCUGCAGCAGUGAGAGGCUGCAGGUUCGGACCCUCAUGCAGGCUGCUGUCCUAAUAAACAACAGGAAGAUACUGAUCUGAAUGGGAAGGAUGCAAAGCUUUCUUCUGAUCGAAACCGGCAACCCUCCUCCACCCCAAGCACCACCAGAUCCAUGCCAGUUAAGGCCUCCUAUCUCCUGCCCUCCAGCUCUCCACCACCACCAGGUCUAGACCCCGGGGGGAUCUUCUGAUCCAGCGGCCUCUCCUCUUGCGUUUUCCCCCCUUUUCGGAUGUGGUCUUCACGACGGGGUCUAGGACGCCAAUGCACAUUCAAACUUUGUACUUAAUAAAUAUUUCUCAUUCAGUUCG
rnacentral:lncRNA from 1 species